rnacentral:rRNA from 1 species
CACGGAGUUAGCCGAUCCUUAUUCUUCAGGUACAUUCAGCUUCCUACACGUAGAAAGGUUUAUUCCCUGACAAAAGCAGUUUACAACCCAUAGGGCAGUCAUCCUGCACGCGGCAUGGCUGGUUCAGAGUUGCCUCCAUUGACCAAUAUUCCUUACUGCUGCCUCCCGUAGGAGUCUGGUCCGUGUCUCAGUACCAGUGUGGGGGAUUCUCCUCUCAGGGCCCCUAGACAUCGUAGCCUUGGUGAGCCGUUACCUCUCCAACUAGCUAAUGUCACGCGAGCCCAUCCAUAUCCUAUAAAUAUUUGAUCAUAAUCCGAUGCCGGUUAAUGAUGUUAUGCGGUGUUAAUCUCUCUUUCGAGAGGCUAUCCCCCUGAUAUGGGUAGGUUGCUCACGCGUUACGCACCCGUGCGCCACUCUCAUCAGUUCGUAGCAAGCUACUCCCCUGAACUCCCCGUCCGACUUUGCCUAUGUAUUUAGGCCUGCCGCU